CAGAUCAUAACGAUGCAAGUGGGUUUUGAUCUAUGUUGGCAACGUCUUGAAGGUUGACCGGAAAUUCGGAAGAGGUGGUCGAUUCUGGAGAAUUAGCACUGACCUAGGGAAGGCCUCGAGGUCGUCGAUGGCACACAUUCCGAGUGUGCCUAUAUUAAGUUAACUGCUUCAUAGCUGCCGAUUGGACGGCUGGUUUGCCAUUGCCAACAUAUAGGUAUAUACGGCAGGGCAUAGGCAAUGCCAAUUGCACGCAUCCGCAAAUUUGCCACCAACUGGCACGCUUAUGUUAUAAAGUUACUGUGCCUCUACCUAAGUGGUUCCUCUCUAAGACAUUGUAUGGGUAAAGAUCGUACAGGAGUUCCUUUGUAAAAGAAUGGAGGAAGAAAGUGGAAGAGAAAAGUGAAAACUUGGUAUUGGGCUCUUAUAUAGUUUCUCUUCUAACAGGACUCGUUUUAAGUAGAAAAACUGGUGAAAUUAAAUCUUCUUUGAAGGAGUGCAGGAUUAUGGAUGUAAAGUGUAAAUUUGAAAUCUGAAUUGUAAAAUGUUUUUUUAAAUGAUAGAAAGGCAAAAAAAAAAAAAA